rnacentral:lncRNA from 1 species
CAGGCCUCAGUGGCUCUUCUGCAGUGAAAAGAUCCUCUGGGAUCCUGGGGUUGUGAGACCUGAUUCCUGGGGAGAGAGACGCGGGGAGGGAGUCGGGGAGGGGCUGUUUUAGAAUUACCACUCACAUUUCUAAACAUCUUCGCAUCCAUAAAUGUUUCCAGUUCAGUGACAGCUGAGGCAUUUGUUUUGAUCGUGGGCUUCUCACUCACCAGCCAGUUAUUUUGGUUAAAACAGAGCAUUUGUUUUCUGAAAGGUGACAAUUUGAGGAGGAGUUAUUCUCAUUUCCUAAGCCUUGCAGGUGUGGCCACCAAGGCAUUCAGGCUGUUCCUCCCUGUUGGGGCCUUUGGACUCCUGCUUCCCUGAAUCCAGAUGCUCUCCCCUCCUUCUUCGCCUGGUUCACAGCUACAGAGACCUCAGCCUCAAUGCUAAUGUGUGAUUCCUUUUCAGACACCCCAGACCCAUGGACCCUCCUAUUCUAUGCCCUCCUGUUACUUGGUAAUUUUCCUUCAUCCCACAUAUGACACUGUCAAUCAACCGAUUAUCUGUGUAAUUCUCUGUUGAACCUCAUCUUCCCACUGGACUCCAAGCUCCAGAUGACAGUGACAGAGACGUGGCCCUUCCUCAUGGGAAAUAAGAUGAGUUUUUGAAUUGGGGUGCCGACGGGGAUGGCAGCAAGGAUGCUACCUGGUCCAUUUGAGGGGAGAACAAAAAGCAUGACUUUGAGCAUAUUCCAACUUGUUGUGAAAUCUGGGAAAGGAGAUUGAAAGACAUUCCAGUAUUUUGUAAAAAAUCCUCCACGUGCAAACAGAGACUAUUGGGAAGCGAUCUUGAACUUCAGACAUGACUAAUAGCCUGGAAUGAAUAAGACGCGUCAGUGAUUUAUUUGAAGUGAACAAUAUAAUAAUUAGAAUUGUUUGAUAAGCCAAAUGGUAGGAAUUCUACAUUAGAAUUAGAUGGGACACUUACUCCAUCACCAUGAGGUUGCGCUCUUGAUCGCAGAUCCUUGGGUAGGUCUUGGCUGGUAGGGGAGCUGCUGUUUACAUCUGAGUUUGCCAGAGACAUUGGAAUUUGCAAGAAGGAGCAACAAUCAUAGCAGCUGUAGGGAGGGAACAUUGUGUUUGGGUGACACUAACCAAUCAAACUAAUAAUCUUUCUGUUGUCCAUGACUAUCUCCCCUGCUAGACAAGGGGCCUCCUAAAGUCAGAAACUGGGCCUUGUUUUACCUUUCAAUUUCUGUUAUCUAGAAUAAAUGUCUUUGGAUAAACAAAUGAGUGAUUUCAAUUAUUGCCAUAUGGCCUCUCUCCCUCAAGAAAACAAAGUUUAAUCCAAAUCCACAGAUCAAGAUAAUUCUCACUCCAUAAAAUCUCCAUUAUCCAGAAACAAC